CCUUCGUCUUCAAACCCCAUCUCACCUCAAGGCUCGAAUUUUUUCCUUUCUAGUGCAAAACCCAGGCUUCGUCUUCAACCUCACCCCGACCCCAACAUUCGACCUCAGCCCAACGGAAGACGAAGUUCCCAAGCAAAGAAGCUUCCAGUCCAAACCCUAACUUUUGAGUGUCUUUGUAAUUUUUUCCAAAAUUUGAAACCCUAACUUCAGCUUGGCCAGUCUUCACUAUGCAGAUUUCGAAUUUCCCCAAGAAUCACGCAUGACAUCAUCUCAAUCAUCAUCUUUAGUUAAUAAUUUUGUGAUGGAAUCACCAACUUGGUUGUGUGGUUUGAAAACACCAAUCAAGACUUCCCACACUAAGAAAAAUCCUAGAAUGAGAUUUUUUGCCUGCCCCAUGUAUAAUACGGGAGAUGCAAGGUGUGAAUUAUUCGUAUGGGCAGAUAUACUUCAGUUGCUAGAGGAGAACUCAAGAGAGAGUAAGGCUUCGAAGAUGUAGGAUGAUGUAUUACAGCGCGAGUAUGACGUUCGAAAAAGGGAAGAUAAAGUGAGAGAAAUAGCGAAGAUUCUGAAAAUUCAAAAGCGAAAAUUAUUAUGUUUGUACUGGGUGGUGACCUUCGUAAUAUUGUUUGCUUGGUUCGGAUAAAUUCCAUGUAAGAAGGAGGUGAAAAUGGAUUAGAUGAGUUUUGAAUGGAAACAGAUUGUGCACAUGGUUUGAUGAAAACCCAUGUAUGUAAAUCAUAUUUUGAGGAAGCAACCUGUGUAAUUAAAACAGCUUUUGCACUUCAAUUGACUUUGUAAACUCAGCUCUCUUAUGUAGUUAUGUAGUUUGAAAAACAUGUCCAGGUUGAGUCAA